GACGGGGUCUGGGGCAGAAAAGAAGGGAGGCUGGAGAAAUCUGGACCGGAGACGUAGAGGCCCCACAGCAGAGCUGAGCCCACCCGACUCCGGGGAAGACCUAGCAGGGGCUAAGGCCGCCCUGGAAGUCCAAGUCCGAGUUGCAUUUCUUGAAGAGGCUGAGCCAGGCAAAGCUGUAACCUUGGCCCUGGAGACUGGUUUCCCAUGAGCUGUUCUUUUUCAAGAGCUCCACAGCGCGGAGCCAUCUCCAGAAAACAGUCCUCAGCGUGUAUUUCCUUUUAUCGUCAACCCGGAGCCCCACGGCAGCUAAUGCAAGAGGCCAAAAAUGUUUUGGAGGAAGAAAAACAAAGGCAGGAAGUGGCGGCGGACUGACGGUCUAGGCAGCCCUCGCAGGGCCGGCCCCGUUCGCUCCCCGCGCGCAACGUUUGGAGAUGGCCACCCGGAGAGGAGAAGGCUGGCGCCCGCGCCAACCUCGUCAGGCGGAAAUGGCUAACGAGGAGAUUUGCGCAGCAAAGCAGACCAAGCCUUUCCAAGGCUCGUUUGAUUUGGGCCUAAUGUUGGAGGGGGUCGUUGGGGGUUCUGCAGCGCCUCCGGAUCCUC